rnacentral:lncRNA from 11 species
GGUCAUUCCAGGGGCAACUUUCAAGUCCUAACAUAAGGGGCGGAGCACUUGUUGGAGUGGGCAGUUUCUAAGGAUUUCCUUCAAUAAAUACAGGCAAAGCUCUCUUUCCCCAGCACACUUGAAACAGUUUCCUUUGUUGCUUAUACUUUGUGAGAAUUAACACUAAAACAAUGUUGGGGAAAACAUCACUUCUCUCUUCUCUAGUUCUGCUUCUGAUUAUACAAGAGGCAUUUGUUGCCCCAGUGACACAGGAACCAAGCACUGAAACGAGUGCAGCAUCAACUAUUGAGUCAAGCAAAGAACCCAGCAGUGAAGGAAAACCAAGUACAGAACCCAGCGAGGAACCCAGUCUACAGCCAACUGAAGACUUGAGUGGGGAUGCAAGUGGAGAAACAAGUGGAGAAGGGAGUGGAGAAGCAAGUGGAGAAGGGAGUGGAGAAGCGAGUGGAGAAGGGAGUGGAGAAGCGAGUGGAGAAGGGAGUGGAGAAGCGAGUGGAGAAGCAAGUGGAGAAGGCCAGCCAACCGUAGAGUCAAGUGAAGAACCCACAGUAGGAACAAGUGAAGGACCAACUGAGGCAACAAGUACAAAGUCAACUGAAACAAAGCCAACAAGUACAAAGCCAACAGACGUUACCAAAACAACAAGUUCCAAUUCAAGCCUACAAUCAACUACCAAAAAAACAGAAUCGUCCAAAUAAAAAGAGGAGGACUCCAGUGGCAUUGAAGUCUUCCUGAUGAUGAUGGCUUGAUUGAAGCAGCUUCCCAUUAUAUGGAAAUACCAAGAUUCUGUGCAGUUUCGAAACUAACAAGGUUUAAAGUAAAAUGUCUGGGUUUCAGUGAAAUUUCAAUCAACACUAAUUUUCCUGUGUUUCACGUUGUUAUUUAUUAAACUGUAACAUAACAGAAAGCACGGAUGGUUUCUGUCAUUUCUACUGUAUUAAUUACAUUCUCAUUUCGACCUCUCAAACUUUGGAAGCAUUUUUCUCUUCAAAGAUGCAUAAAAUGUACUCCUUGCAUUAUUAUGAUCAUGUCUAGUUUUCUUUGUUGAUAUAGAUAGUCCAUUUGUAUUUAUCUAAAACUGAGCAAAUGCAUUAAAAUAUUAGCAGGAAACUUUUUAAAAAUCCACAUCUUUUAUUUCAUGGAACACAAAUAUUAAAAUACUAGCUUGGGGACCCGGCAGUGCCUGGGUUAUUUGAAACAGGC